rnacentral:sRNA from 1 species
CUUGUGGACUGAGCAAUCUGCGGCCGGGUCUCGAGGGGAAAAUAGGUCUGUGGUCCGCAAGGCCCCAAUGGAGACCUUGGGUUCCCGCAGAACCGACUGGGUCUCCAGUAGUCUCUGAGGAGCCGCUCGACCUUCUCCCGACCCUGGAUCUGAGGCAGGAGAUGCCUCCCCCGCGGGUGUUCAAGAGCUUUCUGAGCCUGCUCUUCCAGGGGCUGAGCGUGUUGUUAUCCCUGGCAGGAGACGUGCUGGUCAGCAUGUACAGGUCAGAGGAAGGGACGCUGGCGCCCCAGGAGCAGCUCUUUGGAGGGGGUGGGGAGCAGGGCCGGAACCUUGCUGGCGCUUGAGCCGAUUCAGAUCUGAUUGAGUCAUGUUGGCAAGAGCUGGGUCUGGGACCCUGGGGUGGGGACUGGAGGGUUGAGCAGGUCGGGGCCUCAGCCUCCCUCCGGUUCCCCAGGGAGGUCUGUUCCAUCCGCUUCCUGUUCACGGCUGUGUCGCUGCUGAGCCUCUUUCUGUCAGCAUUCUGGCUGGGGCUUCUGUACCUGGUCUCUCCUUUGGAGAAUGAACCUAAGGAGAUGCUGACUCUAAGGUGAAAGAGGGCACCUAGGGUGGGAAAUUGGGGGGCUCAAAGUUGCUUCUUUGAGAACCUUGAAGGCGUGGGGGCCUUUGGGAGGUGUCCAGGGGGACAGGGAGCCAACCCCACGGCGCCCACCUCCCACCUCCAGUGAGUACCACGAGCGCGUGCGCUCCCAGGGGCAGCAGCUGCAGCAGCUCCAGGCCGAGCUGGAUAAACUCCACAAGGAGGUGUCCACUGUUCGGGCAGCCAACAGCGAGAGAGUGGCCAAGCUCGUGUUCCAGAGGCUGAAUGAGGAUUUUGUGCGGAAGCCCGACUAUGCUUUGAGCUCUGUGGGAGCCUCCAUCGACCUGCAGAAGACAUCCCACGAUUACGCAGACAGGAACACUGCCUACUUCUGGAAUCGCUUCAGCUUCUGGAACUACGCACGGCCGCCCACGGUUAUCCUGGAGCCCCACGUGUUCCCUGGGAAUUGCUGGGCUUUUGAAGGCGACCAAGGCCAGGUGGUGAUCCAACUGCCGGGCCGAGUGCAGCUGAGCGACAUCACUCUGCAGCAUCCACCGCCCAGCGUGGAGCACACCGGAGGAGCCAACAGCGCCCCCCGCGAUUU